rnacentral:misc_RNA from 1 species
GCAAACUUGGUCAUUUAGAGGAAGUAAAAGUCGUAACAAGGUUUCCGUAGGUGAACCUGCGGAAGGAUCAUUAAAAUGUAAUAAGUACAUCUUGUGCUUCAUUAUAAACCCAUCCGUGUAUCUUACCUGUUGCUUCCGUGGGGGGUGGCCCCGGUCACUGCUGACCCCACGGGAGGUAUACAUGAAACCAUUGCAUUGCCAUGAUCUCAGUCUGAAAUGUUAACGAUAAAAGUUAAAACUUUCAACAACGGAUCUCUUGGUUCUCGCAUCGAUGAAGAACGCAGC